rnacentral:tRNA from 1 species
GGGGGUGUAGCUCAGUGGCAGAGUACUUGCCUAGCAUGUGUGAGGCCCUGGGUUCAAUCCCCACUGUUGCCA